rnacentral:rRNA from 1 species
AUUGAACGCUGGCGGAAUGCUUUACACAUGCAAGUCGAACGGCAGCACGGACUUCGGUCUGGUGGCGAGUGGCGAACGGGUGAGUAAUGUAUCGGAACGUGCCCAGUCGUGGGGGAUAACGUAGUGAAAAUUACGCUAAUACCGCAUAUGAUCUAUGGAUGAAAGCGGGGGAUCGCAAGACCUCGCGCGAUUGGAGCGACCGAGAGCAGAUUAGGUAGUUGGUGGGGUAAAGGCCCACCAAGCCAACGAUCUGUAGCUGGUCUGAGAGGACGACCAGCCGCACUGGAACUGAGACACGGUCCAGACUCCUACGGGAGGCAGCAGUGGGGAAUUUUGGACAAUGGGCGAAAGCCUGAUCCAGCCAUUCCGCGUGCAGGAUGAAGGCCCUCGGGUUGUAAACUGCUUUUGUACAGAACGAAAAGGUUUCUACUAAUACUAGGAGCUCAUGACGGUACUGUAAGAAUAAGCACCGGCUAACUACGUGCCAGCAGCCGCCGUAA